CGUUUCGGUGAUGAUAGUGAAAGGGAAACGCCUGGUUCCAUUCCGAACCCAGUAGCUAAGCCUUUUUGCGCCGAUGGUACUGCACUUUGAUGGGUGUGGGAGAGUAGGUUGUCGCCGGACU
rnacentral:rRNA from 1 species